UAUUAAUGUAGCUCAGAGGUAGAGCAGCGAAAUGAUUUCGUCGGUCAUGGGUUCGAUUCCCAUCUUAAUAC
rnacentral:tRNA from 4 species